UGGGGACACAUUUGUCACAUUCUCUCUAGGUAAUUCCAAAGUCCACUGACAUUUGACAACCUCUGUACUAUGCUAAGCUGCAUUUAGAAGAAGUACCAAACACUGAGUAAACAUUAGUUGUGCAAUUAAGCAAAUGCGAUAACAGGAGAGAACUACCCAGCACAGCACAGAGCUCACAGUGAGCAGUAGCUUAUAAUAGUUUAUUUCUGUUAUAUUAAUACCCACCACAUCUGUCUAUUGUGAAGUUAGAUUAUUAAAAACUGUUCCUGAACUGCUAUCUGCAUUCUAAGUUGG
rnacentral:lncRNA from 10 species